GCCAGGCAUAGUGGCGUGUGCCUGUGGUCCCAGUUACUUGGGAGGCUGAGGUGGGAGGAUCAUUUGAGCCCAGGAGGUCAAGGCUGCAGUGAGCAUGAUUGUGUCACUGCACUCCUGUCUGGGCAACAGAGUUGAGACCCUGUCUCAA
rnacentral:SRP_RNA from 2 species